CACCAGCCCCUCGAGUGGUGGGGAUGAUUAUUUGGCCUAAAGCGUCCGUAGCCGGCCGGGUAAGUUUCCCGUUAAAUCCAGCGUCUCAAGCGUUGGACUGCGGGAAAUACUGCCUGGCUAGAGAGUGGGAGAGGUCAGCGGUAUUCUGGGGGUAGGGGCGAAAUCCUUUGAUCCCCGGAGGACCACCAGUGGCGAAGGCUGCUGACUAGAACACGUCUGACGGUCAGGGGACGAAAGCUGGGGUAGCGAACCGGAUUAGAUACCCGGGUAGUCCCAGCCGUAAACGAUGCAUGCUAGGUGUUGGGUUGGCCACGAGCCACCCCAGUGCCGCAGGGAAGCCGUUAAGCAUGCCGCCUGGGAAGUACGAUCGCAAGAUUGAAACUUAAAGGAAUUGGCGGGGGAGCACCACCAGGCGUGAAGCCUGCGGUUU
rnacentral:rRNA from 1 species